rnacentral:rRNA from 1 species
GACCCAACUGCUAUCGGAAUGAGACUAAGCCAUGCAAGUUGUACGUUUUUAACUAUGAAAAAACGUAUCAUACGGCUCACUAAUACAUAGUUAAUCUGCCCUCUGGACGACUAUAACGUCAGAAAACUGACGGUAAUAGUUGAUAUAGAAUGGAAUCUGGAAUGAUCUAUUUCAUAAAGGGUUAAAAAUCAUGUUUUUUAACUGCCAGAGGAUGGGACUAUGGCCGAUCAGGUUGAUGGUGAGGUAAUGGCUCACCAUGCCUAUAACCGGUACGGGCCCUGAGAGGGGUAGCCCGGAGAUGGAUUCUGAGACAAGAAUCCAGGCCCUACGGGGCGCAGCAGGCGCGAAACCUCCACAAUGCGCGAAAGCGUGAUGGGGUUAUUCCGAGUGUUCGCCGCUGAGGCGAACUUUUACUUAGUUCAAAAGGCUUUGAGAAUAAGGGGAGGGCAAGAUUGGUGUCAGCCGCCGCGGUAAUACCAACUCCCCGAGUGGUUGGGAUGUUUACUGGGCUUGAAGCGUCCGUAGCCUGUCUCAUAAGUUCUCUGUUAAUCCGAUGUCUCAGCAUUGGGCGGCAGAGAAUACUGUGAGACUUGGGAAUGGAAGAAGCCGGCGGUACUUUUUGGGAAGGAGUAAAAUCCUCAGAUCCAAAAAGGACCAUCAGUGGCGAAGGCGGCCGGCUAGGACAUGUCCGACGGUGAGGGACGAAAGCUGAGGUAGCGAUCCGGAUUAGAUACCCGGGUAGUCUCAGCUGUAAACGAUGCAAGACUAGUGUGUGAGCAAACAUGUGUUGCUCAUGUGCCGUAGAGAAAUUGUUAAGUCUGCCGCCUGGGAAGUACGUUCCGCAGGAUGAAACUUAAAGGAAUUGGUCGGGGAGCACCUACAGGGUUUGAUCUUGCGGUUUAAUUUGAUUUCACGC